rnacentral:rRNA from 1 species
UACAGAGGUCUCGAGCGUUAGGCGGAAUCACUGGGCUUAAAGCGUGUGUAGGUGGAUCGUUAAGUACCUUGUGAAAUCCCCCGGCUUAACCUGGGAACUGCGUCUGAUACUGGAAGGCUUGAGUAUGGGAGAGGGAUGUAGAAUUCCAGGUGUAGCGGUGAAAUGCGUAGAUAUCUGGAGGAAUACCGGUGGCGAAGGCGGCAUCCUGGACCAUUACUGACGCUGAGGCGCGAAAGCUAGGGGAGCAAACGGG